rnacentral:lncRNA from 1 species
CACCUGCUAAAAAAAAUUGAACCAGAGAACAUCAAAUACUUGUAGAAAAGAAGAGGAUAACAAAAAGUCAUUGGAAAAAGAAAUCUCAGACUGCCAUAAUUUGCAAGACAUAUGGUUCCCAGAGAGUCGAUUACAAAAAAGAUACAAUCAGAGAUACAACUGUAGAUAACAUGGAGAAGUACAUGAUCUACCAAUUGACUUGAGAACAAUAAAAUCACACCAAAAAUUGAAUCGUUAACAGGUAUUACAACACUUGCACAGGCACACGGCUGGAAGGAGAAAGGGAAGAAUUGGGUUAAAUGCUUCAUUAUACAUGACACUAUCCAAUUACACGGUUACAAACAAAUCAGUAAUAUUCCUGAGACUUAAAGCAUUAGUAUUCACAUUCCUGGAGAGUAAAAGUUUAGGAAGCAAAUCUUGUCAAGGAAGCAGAUAAAAAUUUAUAUAACCAGGCAUUCAGAUCAUAGGAAAAACAGACAGGUCUGUGCUUAGCAUACUAACAGAGCUAAGUUUUCUUUAUCGGAUGAAAUGAAAAGAAACGAUAAAUGAAAGCAGGCAAAAGUGUAAAUUAAAUGCAUUUUCAACCCAAAAAGUAUAACAAAUAUUGUUUUAAAGAAAGAACAGCAGCUCAAAGACAAGAGAGGUUGAGGAAGUGGAAAUUAUGCCAACUCCAUGCUCCAGCUUUCUAUCAGAAAAGCAUGAAGUAGAUUAUUGCACCAAUGGGGCUAAAACAGAAUAAAGAAAUGAAUUAAACAGGCAAAAAAUCAAGGCCAAGGGAAAUCUUGGGCAAAAUUACAGUUAAAAGUUUAUAGUUCAUCAUCUUCGUUGCAACUUACUCUAGAUCAGUUGGUUCCUCAUCAUCGUACUCCUGAGCAAAGCUGGAAUUUGCUCUGGCAUUUCUGUCUCUGUUUACAGCAUCUGCAGCAACUCCAAGAGGGGCUUGUUCAGGUCCACCCAACCACGCAUGUCCCCUAUCCCGUCUCCCAGGAACGCCGUUUCCAUCUCCAUGGCCAUGAUUAUCUUCUGGCUUUGGAAGUAAAAAAUUUGUUAAACCGAGUGCCCAGCCAACGGCAAUAAACCAAUAUCGUAGGAUGAGUUUGAAUGUACUCCGCAGCUUAAAAUGUUCGAUAGCAAAUGGAAUGCAUAUUUGAAAUUAGAGGGGCUUGUUCAGGUCCACCCAACCACGCAUGUCCCCUAUCCCGUCUCCCAGGAACGCCGUUUCCAUCUCCAUGGCCAUGAUUAUCUUCUGGCUUUGGAAGUAAAAAAUUUGUUAAACCGAGUGCCCAGCCAACAGCAAUAAACCAAUAUCGUAGGAUGAGUUUGAAUGUACUCCGCAGCUUAAAAUGUUCGAUAGCAAAUGGAAUGCAUAUUUGAAAUAGAAGCAUGUCAGCAGGAAUUUCAGUGAAUGGAUCAGAAAGACUGCAACAUAUCAAGUGCUCAUUGGUAAGUUAGGGAAGAAAUGGUGUAUUAAAGUGACAACACUAUUUUGAUAUUAAAAUUUGAAACACA